rnacentral:rRNA from 1 species
UACAGAGGUCUCAAGCGUUGUUCGGAUUCAUUGGGCGUAAAGGGUGCGUAGGCGGCGCGGAAAGUAGGGUGUGAAAUCCCUCGGCUCAACCGAGGAACUGCGCUCUAAACUACCGUGCUCGAGGGAGGUAGAGGUGAGCGGAACUUAGGGUGGAACGGUGAAAUGUGUUGAUAUCCUAAGGAACACCGGUGGCGAAAGCGGCUCACUGGGAUCUCUUCUGACGCUGAGGCACGAAAGCUAGGGUAGCGAACAGG